AUUAUCGAUGAUGACUCCAUAGACCUGUAAUGAUUGCGAAUAUGACCGCAAAUUUGAACAUCUAAGGGACUGAGAUUGA